rnacentral:lncRNA from 1 species
CGGGCCACACCCGCCUCAGCCCUAGCUAUGCCACCUUGAAGCCAUCAGGAGCCACCACACUGAGAGAGAGGGAGGCGGAGAGCGCUGCAGAGGGCAACCGCCGAUGAUCCGAGCCCACACCACCGUUUCGACCUCGGUGUGUGGAUUAGAGGGCUCAUCCUCGUGCCUGGAGUGCGUGCAUGGCCUAAUCAAGCUAGAAUAUGGCUUGGUGGAUCGUGAAUUGGUCGUCGGGGUAUGACCUCCGCCGAUGGACCGCCAUGCACCGUGGCUAGAGCAUAUGGGUGCACGAUUCUCGGUAAGACUCCCACCCUCUGAUUCUCUAUAUGCAAGGCAUCGAUUAUGACCUAGGGAUUCUCGUAUGGUGAGCUGGUGUGCGGGAUGGCCCUCACCGAGAGGCACUGCCAAGGGGUUGUGCACGUGCGGCCACGUGCUGUUCAGGGAUGAGGAAGAUGGGUCUUGAACCAUUGAUUUGGUAGACGAGGGUGGAGAUUAGAACAUCGAUACCGGUUGGGAGUGGGGAAAUUGGGCCGCACGAUCGUGGAUCAGUGGAUGAGAUGAGAUCGAACAUAAUAAAAUUAGGAGUGUUGAUCCCUGAUCUCAUGGUCGGGGCUUCAUACAGGUUCGUAAGUGCAAGGAUUUAAUCUGAGCCAUUAAAUUUUGAUCGGACGACGUAGAUCAGCUGAUACCCCUUCGUUUUCGUAAAUUUGUUAAAGAGACCCCCCUGGUUUCUAUUAUUCAACCCCCCGUCUACCUAGUUCAAAGGAAUAAAAGUUGGGUCCUCGGUUCUUUGCAAAACAACCCUUGGUAUUUCGGAUCAGGUCCCUGGUAGGUGUUUAUAGUAUAAAAUUAAUAUCAAAAUCAACCUAAAAAUUGUGAAAUUCGUAUCUUGCACAUUAUAACUCUCAUUUAGUCUGUUCCAAUUGUGUUAGCUUCAUAAUAAUAUUGUCUACACAGUAACAACAUCAUUUAUACCUUAUCACAUAUCUUUAUAAUUAGAUAUUGCAAAACCUAUAUCUAUUAGAGUAACUCUUAUGAUAAACUAUCCAUAAUUAUAAUCUAACUAAAGUAUGAUCUCUAAUCAAGUUAUAAUUAAAUUUGAAUUAAUUAUUCCUUUAGGUUAUCUUUUCUCAUGAUUUAUAAAACCAACAUAAGACCUAGUCUUAAUUGCUUAAUCACGUAGGUCUUCCGAAAACCAUAUUUUUUACCUUAACUCCGAUUUUAAUGGUUAUCGAACCUACGAUCUCGUAGCGAAGCGUAGAAUAUUCUUACAUAUUUUAUUCUUAUGCUUUGCUGUAAUGUUACCAUAUCAAUUAUUUGCUUGAUUGUAUGUUUUGCUAUGCAUAGAAGCGAGGUGAUGAGGAAUCUGAAGAUCAACUUGGUGAAGUACUUGGAAUCACAAGUAAAAGGCAAGUUGUGUGCUUGAUCACUUUCUUUGACCUAAUAAUGUGUUGUUAAUCAUCGUGGCACAGUUAGGUUAAGCUGAUGGGACCUAAUAGGUUACCUAGUUUUGUUUACCCUACACCUUGUAGACUAAUGAAUUAUUGGGUAGUCUUGCUAUUGCUCUACCUAGUUUUAGGAUUAAUAUUAUAUCCGAAUCAUGAUCAUGUUUUAUCAUUACUGAUGUAUUAUUUAUUGUUCAUGAUAAGAUUAUUGUGAUAAUUGGAAUAUAGAGCUUAACCUGAGAUAACAGUGCUACCACAAGAGUGGUAUGGGAUGCACUUGGCUGAAUAAUUAGAAACGCUAGUGGAGAACUACCUUACCCGAAAGGGGCAACCGCAGUGUGAGGAGUUGUCGGUAUAGGGCGGUUCUCGGGUUGAUCAUGCUGUGAUGGUUUUUCGGACAAGGGAUUCCUAUAUCGUUCCCUUCUCGCAGAAACCGUAGCGGGUUUUUUGAAGUUAGUGGAACUUUGUACAGGCCUCGUAGUUGAUGCCUAGCCAUUCACCUCGUAAGUGUCUAAUGACAUUGUAAACACUAGCUAUACGGGAUACACGACUUGUGGGUAAAGGGUACAACCUCUAUAGAGUGUAAAACUGAGUAUAUCGGUCAUGCUCACAGUCAAGAACGACUCAGGACUCUCGCAUGAUUAAUAUAUGGAACUAAACUUAUUCUAUCAUUUAUUGCAUUGUAUUGUGGGAAUUAUUAAUUGUGAUCUCUUAUUUAACUGGGAUGGUAUUUACUUAAACUUAGUAAUUGGUAAUAAAAUUUUGACCAAUUUACUAAAAGCAAUGCUCAGCCUUAACCAUUUUCCUUGGUAAGGCUUACACUUCACAUGAGCCCCCACAGUAACUGAGCUCAAGCACAUUAUUCCCCACACUUGUUGAGCGAUGAAUGUAUGUGAGCUCACCCUUGCUAUAAUCACACCAGGUCAAGAACAGGUACCGCUGGAGGAGCAUGAAGGAUGCUACGAGGAGUUUGGAGAGGUGUAGCAAGUCGUCUCCCAAUCAACUAUGGUUGAGGAGGAUCAUGGUCGUCAUAUGAUGUAUUUAUUUAACUAUUUUGUACUGAACCCUAUUAUAUAAUAAAGAUGUGAAAUUAAUUUAUGUACCAUGAGUCAUCAUAUGUGUGAGACUUGAUCCUAGCACAC